GACGAACGCUGGCGGCGUGCCUAACACAUGCACGUCGAACGGGGCUGCGGGAGCUUGCUCCUGCGACUUAGUGGCGAACGGGUGAGUAACGCGUGAGGAACCUGCCUUUCAGUGGGGGACGAACAGUUGGAAACGACUGCUAAUACCGCAUAAUAGUAUUUAGGGGGUCGAUCCCCUCGAAUACCAAAGACUUUAUGUGCUGAAAGAUGGCCUCGCGUCCGAUUAGAUAGUUGGUGGGGUAACGGCCUACCAAGUCGACGAUCAGUAGCCGGUCUGAGAGGAUGAACGGCCACAUUGGGACUGAGAUACGGCCCAG
rnacentral:rRNA from 1 species